rnacentral:lncRNA from 1 species
GACAUGGCCUUACCUCUUCAAACCUCUUCAAAAAUCCUCCUUCUUCCAAAACACUCCUCUGAUCUUCAAAGCUCAAAACCCUAGCACCCAUAAUUCUUCUCCGCACCUCAUCUCCUCUGCCACCUCCUCCACCUCCGCCGCCCCUCCACCUUCGCCGCCCUCCACCUCCAUCUCUCCUCCACUCCAGCCGACACCCACCUCCGUCGCUCCUCCACUCCAGCCGACACCCACCUCCGUCGCUCCUCCACUCCAGUCUUUCUUGAAUUUCUCUCAAACCCAUCAAAAAUUUUCAAACUUGUUGAUGGGUUUGAUUGCAAAAGUCGACUUUAUGCCAUAGAACGAGGUUGAUUUGAAGCAUCUGAUGUUGGUAUUAGCAUAGAUCUUCAUGUCGAUAAAAAUUGAAGCCUUGGUGUAGGGAUGUUCUUUGGGUUAGUUAAACUGGUUUUAGAAAUUUCAAAGCAAACCUAAUAAGAUCACUAGCUGAGUGGAUUUAGUUUUGGCGGUUAUUGUAACUUUCUGCAAGCCCACAUCAUUUUUUCUCAAGAAGCUCGAGUUGAUGGAAACAUGCUUACAAGCUCUCUUAAAUGUCUUUUGCAAGUAUGGUGUAUUAUAGCCAUCAUGUGAAGAGUGGAAGGCACUAUAUCACAAAAGGUGAAAGAUGGAGGUGGUCGGUUGUUUCUUAAGGCCAUGGGAUCUUGUUCGCAAUUCAUGAAAACCUAAGGGAGUAUCCGGGCAAUUAACUCAUAAAUGUUCUUAUAACUAUAUAAAUCGUAAUUGAUUCUACGCGUUGUAAAAUUCUUUAUGUUUAUAUCUUAAUAUUGUUGGAUUUAC